UGGAGUCUGGUGGGUUUGGUGAUGGUGAUUUCGGGGCUGUUUCCUUUUAAAGGUGCCGUGCCACACGUAUAUUUCAUGACUUUGUGGUAAAGUCUGAAGUUCUACCAUGGACUCUGUAACCUUGGUUACCUUGU